UUCCUACGGGAGGCAGCAGUGGGGAAUAUUGGGCAAUGGGCGCAAGCCUGACCCAGCAAUGCCGCGUGAAGGAAGAAGGCCCUCGGGUUGUAAACUUCUUUUAUCAGGGACGAAGGAUGUGACGGUACCUGAUGAAUAAGCUCCGGCUAACUACGUGCCAGCAGCCGCGGUAAUACGUAGGGAGCAAGCGUUAUCCGGAUUUACUGGGUGUAAAGGGCGUGUAGGCGGGAAUGCAAGUCAGAUGUGAAAACUAU
rnacentral:rRNA from 1 species